rnacentral:rRNA from 1 species
AUUGAACGCUGGCGGCAGGCCUAACACAUGCAAGUCGAGCGCCCCGCAAGGGGAGCGGCAGACGGGAGAGUAACACGUGGGAACGUACCCUUUGGUUCGGAACAACCCAGGGAAACUUGGGCUAAUACCGGAUAAGCCCUUACGGGGAAAGAUUCAUCGCCGAAGGAUCGGCCCGCGUCUGAUUAGCUAGUUGGUGGGGUAACGGCCCACCAAGGCGACGAUCAGUAGCUGGUCUGAGAGGAUGAUCAGCCUCACUGGGACUGAGACACGGCCCAGACUCCUACGGGAGGCAGCAGUGGGGAAUAUUGGACAAUGGGCGCAAGCCUGAUCCAGCCAUGCCGCGUGGGUGAUGAAGGCCCUAGGGUUGUAAAGCCCUUUCGGCGGGGAAGAUAAUGACGGUACCCGCAGAAGAAGCCCCGGCUAACUUCGUGCCAGCCGCCGCCGUAA